rnacentral:rRNA from 1 species
AGGACGAACGCUGGCGGCGUGCUUAACACAUGCAAGUCGAGCGGUAAGGCCUCUUCGGGGGUACACGAGCGGCGAACGGGUGAGUAACACGUGGGUGACCUGCCCUCAGCUCUGGGAUAAGCCUGGGAAACUGGGUCUAAUACUGGAUAUGACUGCGCAUCGCAUGGUGUGUGGUGGAAAGUUUUUUCGGCUGGGGAUGGGCCCGCUGCCUAUCAGCUUGUUGGUGGGGUGAUGGCCUACCAAGGCGACGACGGGUA